rnacentral:lncRNA from 1 species
AGUACUCUAUUCCUCCUUUCCAAAUCUACAUUUCAUAAGAACAGAAAGGUAAAUUGCUCGUGCGUUGCAACGGGAUAAAAAAGGCGAGUAUUCAAAUUUAGUGAGAAUUGUUAGAUGUCGCUCAUUUCACAAUUUGUUAGAUGCCACUGCACACCACUUCUUCUAUCCAACUCCGAUAAUUGUCACAAUUAGGUUGCCCUCGUCUCUAGUGACAUUGUGAAAAUAAUGUUACUAUGGUCAUGUCUACCGAAGUUCCACUAAAAUGAAAAUACAAAUAGCUAGAUUCAGAAUCUGGGAGAACCGUGUCAAACAUGCACAACAUGUAUUACUUUAUCUUGCUUUUAGCAAUUUAAAGUAACUUCUCUGAAGUGUGUAGAUGAUCCGGAAAACUACAACUCAUAUGACAUGAAGAUAUAAAAAAAGCUUUGCUUCAAGUAUGAAGGAAACCUUUGUCUAACUUGGAGAACCUGUAGUUAUAAAUUAUAGGUCCAAUAUACAUUUAGCAUUACACAGCGUUUAGGCAGCAUUGUGUUUUACAUUCAGCAGGGAUCUUGUUUAAUAACAGCUACAGGCAGUGGCAUAGCCAUGCCGUAGGUAUGGGGGCACAAUCCUUUGCUGAGUGUUCAUCCCUGUACAUAUCUUCCAGAUUGAAUUAUUUUAUUUUACAGAUUGUAUUUCAUGGAUAACCCUGUGUUCAGCUGCCCACAUCCCACAAAUCUAGGGCGUUACAUGAUAAAGGUGAAGAACAUACCUGGAUUCCAUCAGAAAAAUUCAUUGAAGACCGCAUCAGAAUAACAUCUUGGCUAAACUUUAUCUCCAACCACCAGCGUUUAGGGGCAAUCUUUAGAAAAGAAAGUCAACACAGUAUCUGAAAUUGGUUAGAAAUUACAUACAUUAUUUGUAGGGAUCCAUGCAAGUAGAUAGUAAAUCACACUGGGAUGGCAUGACUAUAAUAACAUCCAGUAUUACCCAAACUUCGAUUGUUCAGAUGGGAAUGUAUCCAAAAGUAAAUAACAUCCAUCCAAAAAUAACCGGAGCUAGUAACUUGUCAAACACAGGGGAAAACAAUUGCCUAAUCCAUGUAUAUGCUACAAUGAUCUGCCUACACACAUUUUUCAUAUCAGUAUUUUUUAAAUAAAAUUGCUAGGAAUGGGUGGGCCAGAGAAGCAGGAGGGAGCAAUCUGACCUACGCAAGCAGCUCGCUGCAUUUGGGAGCCUCGUCCUACUCCUGCAGAAGGCGUGUACAGGGUGAGCUCGCUACAGGAAGAGGCGUCGGCUGUUCUGGAGGAGAUCGGGGCUUGCUGCAUUCCCAGCUACUUCCUUGGCAGCGACGACCCGGGAGGAGUGAGGCAAGGGCGGUGGCUAGAGACCAGUAGUUGCUUCUGGCGGCUCGAGACGGCCUAGAGCGGAGGGAGGCGAGGGGGU